rnacentral:lncRNA from 1 species
GCCGAUAUAUCUUCGUCUGUGCCUCAUGAUGUACUGACAAUACUUCCAAGGUAAGUGAAUUGUUGUACAUCUUCAACAGUAGAGUCGUUGAUCUUAAGACAAUCUUGUUGGUUCGUAUUUAGCCUCAUUGAUUUUGUUUUCUGGGUUUUGAUGUAUAGGCCUGUUUGUUUUGCUGCUGUUUCAAGACUUUUGGUCUGAUGUUGUGCAUCUUGGAAGCGAUGGGAUAAUAUACAUAUGUCAUCAGCAAAUUUUAGGUCUUCUAGACGUGUUGUGAGAGUUCAUCCAAUGCCUUUCGGAUCUUUGUAGGCUGUUUUCCCAACCAAGUCAACUACUAUCAGGAAAAGGAGAGGAGAGAGAAAACAUCCUUGAAGUACCCCAGUUGUAACAGGGA